UCUCCGUUGGUGAACCAGCGGAGGGAUCAUUACCGAGUGCAAACUCAUAACCCUUUGUGAACCUAUAUCUGUUGCUUCGGCGGCUCGCUCUCGGGCGAGCCGCCGGUAAUAUCAGUAUCUCUGUUUGAACCCGACGAUACUUCUGAGUGUUCUUAGCGAACAGUUAGAACUUUUAACAACGGAUCUCUUGGCUCUA
rnacentral:misc_RNA from 1 species